rnacentral:rRNA from 1 species
UGCAAGUCGAACGCUGAAGCACUCUGCUUGCAGAGUGUGGAUGAGUGGCGAACGGGUGAGUAACACGUGGAGAACCUGCCCAUAAGAGGGGGAUAACAUCCGGAAACGGGUGCUAAUACCGCAUAGGUAUCCGACACGCAUGUGUCGGAUAUGAAAGACGGCUUCGGCUGUCGCUUAUGGAUGGCUCCGCGGCGUAUUAGCUAGUUGGUGAGGUAAUGGCUCACCAAGGCAGUGAUACGUAGCCGACCUGAGAGGGUGAUCGGCCACACUGGGACUGAGACACGGCCCAGACUCCUACGGGAGGCAGCAGUAGGGAAUCUUCCACAAUGGGCGCAAGCCUGAUGGAGCAAUGCCGCGUGAAUGAAGAAGGUCUUCGGAUCGUAAAGUUCUGUUAUCGGAGAAGAACACGUCGAGUAGUAACUGGCUCGACCUUGACGGUAUCCGACCAGAAAGUCACGGCUAACUACGUGCCAGCAGCCGCGGUAAUACGUAGGUGACAAGCGUUGUCCGGAUUUAUUGGGCGUAAAGCGAGCGCAGGCGGUCUUUUAAGUCUGAUGUGAAAGCCCACGGCUCAACCGUGGAUGGUCAUUGGAAACUGGAGGACUUGAAUGCAGAAGAGGUAAGUGGAAUUCCAUGUGUAGCGGUGAAAUGCGUAGAUAUAUGGAGGAACACCAGUGGCGAAGGCGACUUACUGGUCUGUUAUUGACGCUGAGGCUCGAAAGCGUGGGGAGCGAACAGGAUUAGAUACCCUGGUAGUCCACGCCGUAACGAUGAGUGCUAAGUGUUGGAGGGUUUCCGCCCUUCAGUGCUGGAGCUAACGCAUUAAGCACUCCGCCUGGGGAGUACGGCCGCAAGGCUGAAACUCAAAGGAAUU